rnacentral:misc_RNA from 1 species
GGAAUACUCGAGCUAUCAAGAUGCACAAGCUUGCCUGAACACCAUCAUUAUCAAGAUAAUUGGAAAAUGAGAAGAAUAAGGCGCUUGAAACCACAAGAGGCUAUAGAGAAUUAGACUAGCAACAAUGCUGGAGGUAAAUUGGAUUAUUUAUACUUGGAAACGACAAUCUAAGCAUAGGUCCUCAUUAAUGUGAGCUGUAUAGUGGACUAUUUGUUGGUCAUCCCACGCGAGAAUUUG